rnacentral:tRNA from 1 species
GCCCAGUGUGGCAUAAUAGUUUGAGUGUUGGACUACAACUCUGGAGACCAGGGUUCGAUUCCCAGUUUGGCCA